UCUCCUAGGUGAACUGCUCACGCUAACGAGCUCCACCUGCCCGGGUUUGUUGUUCGGAGUUUGCUCUCCUAGGUGAAUUGCCUACCACGGCUAACGACCUCCACCUGCCCGGGUUUGUUUAGAGUUUGCUCUCCUAGGUGAAUUACCUCCCACGGCUAACGACCUCCACCUGCCCGGGUUUAUUGUUCGGAGUUUGCUCUCCUAGGUGAAUUGCCUACCACGGCUAACGACCUCCACCUGCCCGGGUUUAUUGUUCGGAGUUUGCUCUCCUAGGUGAAUUGCCUACCACGGCUAACGAGCUCCACCUGCCCGGGUUUAUUGUUCGGAGUUUGCUCUCCUAGGCAGACUGCCUACCACGGCUAACGAGCUCCACCUGCCCGGGUUUGU